GGUAAAGGGUAUCUGGAAAGGUUCAAGAGGUCCUGGAAUAACAAGGAUCACAGCAACAAGAAACCAUGACAGAGUAAGGCCUGAAACCAGAGCCUUCUGCAUUUUCUCAUCCAUGAUGACGUGCGUUGAUGCUAGACAUUAAUGAGCCUGAAGACACAAAGAAGAAGUAUUUACCGUUGGAAAAUAUGCUCUACACUCAAACAGAGGUACCCAGCCUAAGAUUCCACUUCCAAGAUAUACUCACCCCCUCCCCCGCCC